rnacentral:lncRNA from 1 species
CGAGGACUUCGACAACCGGCUCGUGAACCACUUCGUCCAGGAGUUCAAGAGGAAGAACAAGAAGGACAUCACUGGCAACCCCAGGGCGCUCCGGCGGCUGAGGACCGCCUGCGAGAGGGCUAAGAGGACGCUCUCCUCCACCGCCCAAACCACCAUCGAGAUCGACUCGCUCUAUGAGGGCAUCGACUUCUACACGACCAUCACCCGUGCCCGGUUCGAGGAGCUCAACAUGGACCUCUUCCGCAAGUGCAUGGAGCCCGUGGAGAAGUGCC